rnacentral:tRNA from 1 species
AAAGAAUAAUAAAAUAAAUAUCUAAGUUUAAGUAUAUCAUUUACAAUGAUAAGAUGUUUUUGACUU